rnacentral:rRNA from 1 species
UACGUAGGCGGCGUCGUAAGUCAGAAGUGAAAGCUUACAGCUUAACUGUGAAAUUGCUUUUGAUACUGCGGUGCUUGAAUUAGGUUGAGGUUAGCGGAAUGUGACAUGUAGCGGUGAAAUGCAUAGAUAUGUCAUAGAACACCAAUUGCGAAGGCAGCUGGCUAGGCCUAUAUUGACGCUCAGGCACGAAAGCGUGGGGAGCGAACAGGAUUAGAUACCCUGGUAGUCC